AUGAGUCCACCAUACCUACCUAUAUACGGUAUCUACCUGCCGUUCCAAGUAAAUUUGUAUGUGCCAAACUCUAAACAUUCAAAUAAAUAUCCUGUUUUGUAUGCUCGAAUAGCUCAUGUAUCAACUAGGGCUAUCCGUAUCUUCCAUGUUAGGCGGGUUAUUCUCAAGAGGAGUGGACUCCGCUCCUCAGUCACGGGAAAGUGGCUGGUCACCGGGAUGCCCAGUCCCAUGCUUUAUGCAAAUCAAAUCAAAAUAAUUGCAAACAAAACCGCCCCUAGGACUCUUGUUAGUUGGAGGCACUUGUUGUUUCGAGCAAGCCAUGGAUUGAUGCCUGUUGGUGGAGGGGGAGUAUAA
rnacentral:rRNA from 1 species